rnacentral:rRNA from 1 species
UACGGAGGGUGCGAGCGUUGUCCGGAAUCAUUGGGCGUAAAGGGCGCGUAGGUGGCCACUUCAAGCGUGCGGUGAAAGUCGGGGGCUCAACCCCUGAUCGGCCGUGCGAACUGGGGGGCUGGAGCACUGUAGAGGCAGGCGGAAUUCCGGGUGUAGCGGUGGAAUGCGUAGAGAUCCGGAAGAACACCCGUGGCGAAGGCGGCCCCCUGGGCCGCGCCUGACGCUGAGACGCGAAAGCGCGGGGAGCGAACGGG